rnacentral:rRNA from 1 species
GAUGAACGCUGGCGGCAUGCCUAACACAUGCAAGUUGAACGAGAAGUUCUGGAACAAGUCUUCGGACAAGGGAAGGGAUGGAAAGUAGCGAACGGGUGAGUAACGCGUGGGCAACCAACCUUACACUGGGGGAUAACACAGAGAAAUUUGUGCUAAUACCGCAUAAGCGCACAGUACCGCAUGGUACGGUGUGAAAAACUCCGGUGGUGUAAGACGGGCCCGCGUCUGAUUAGUUAGUCGGUGAGGUAAAAGCUUACCAAGGCGACGAUCAGUAGCCGACCUGAGAGGGUGAUCGGCCACAUUGGGACUGAGACACGGCCCAAACUCCUACGGGAGGCAGCAGUGGGGGAUAUUGCACAAUGGAGGGAACUCUGAUGCAGCAAUGCCGCGUGAAGGAAGAAGGUUUUCGGAUUGUAAACUUCUAUCAGCAGGGAAGAAAAUGACG